GAUGAACGCUGGCGGCGUGCCUAAUACAUGCAAGUCGAGCGAACGGACGAGAAGCUUGCUUCUCUGAUGUUAGCGGCGGACGGGUGAGUAACACGUGGAUAACCUACCUAUAAGACUGGGAUAACUUCGGGAAACCGGAGCUAAUACCGGAUGAUAUUUUGAACCGCAUGGUUCAAAAGUGAAAGACGGUCUUGCUGUCACUUAUAGAUGGAUCCGCGCUGCAUUAGCUAGUUGGUAAGGUAACGGCUUACCAAGGCAACGAUGCAUAGCCGACCUGAGAGGGUGAUCGGCCACCCUGGAACUGGGACACGGUCCAGACUCCUACGGGAGGCAGCAGUAGGGAAUCUUCCGCAAUGGGCGAAAGCCUGACGGAGCAACGCCGCGUGAGUGAUGAAGGUCUUCGGAUCGUAAAACUCUGUUAUUAGGGAAGAACAUAUGUGUAAGUAACUGUGCACAUCUUGACGGUACCUAAUCAGAAAGCCACGGCUAACUACGUG
rnacentral:rRNA from 1 species